GAAAUGCGAUACGUAAUGUGAAUUGCAGAAUUCCGUGAAUCAUCUAAUCUUUGAACGCACAUUGCACUCUCUUUCGGGAGAGUAUGCCUGUUUGAGAAUCUAUAGUAUUCUUUUUCCUAAUCAUGAGCCUAUCUUUUUACUAAGAUAGUGAAUAAUUGAUUAGGAGAGAUUUGAGGUUUCCCUAUUGACUUAGGGUACCUUUAAAUAGAUAACUUUGAAUGGCAAUUUGAUGUUUGAACCUUCAACAUUCAUAGGAACAGUAGUCGAAUAAACCUUUUGGUUUUAACUUUUGCUAAGUACUUUGAUAGGAGAUUAGUCAAUUUGGUAUUGAAGGUCCAUAACCUUGAUAAAGUCAAUUUACGUUGACUUGAACCAUGGUCUCAAAUCAGGUAGGAAGACC
rnacentral:misc_RNA from 1 species